rnacentral:rRNA from 1 species
CAGCAGCCGCGGUAACACGUAGGGUGCGAGCGUUAAUCGGAAUUACUGGGCGUAAAGUGUGCGCAGGCGGUUUUGUAAGACAGGCGUGAAAUCCCCGGGCUCAACCUGGGAAUGGCGCUUGUGACUGCAAAGCUAGAGUGCGGCAGAGGGGGAUGGAAUUCCGCGUGUAGCAGUGAAAUGCGUAGAUAUGCGGAGGAACACCGAUGGCGAAGGCAAUCCCCUGGGCCUGCACUGACGCUCAUGCACGAAAGCGUGGGGAGCAAACAGGAUUAGAUACCCGUGUAGUCCCUGUCUCUUAUAC